UUUUUUUUUUUUUUUUUUUUUUGAGAUGGCGUCUCGCUCUGUCACCUAGCCUGGAGUGCAGUGGCACAAUCUCAGCUCACUGCAAGCUCCGCCUCCUGGGUUCACACCAUUCUCCUGCCUCAGCCUCCCAAGUAGCUGCGACUACAGGUGCCCGCCACCACCUACCCUUUUUCUUUAGAUAAAAAAUAAAAGAAUAUUCAUUUUACUAACACAGUGAAACCCCGUCUCUACUAAAAAUACAAAAAAAAAAAAAAAAGAAUAUUCAUUUUACCUCCCUCCCUUCUCAACAUGAGCGCUUUCCUCAAGUUUUGCCAAACAUCUCACUCCUCCCUCCUCUCAAGUUCAUUCCCACCCUCUCAGUCAGGCCACUGGCAGAAAACUCAUGGCACACUUCAGCAAUUUGAGGAGAGUUUAAUAAAGGUGUGAACAGAUUCUAGAGUCAGCUGCAAGGAAUAAUGCAGUACUUCUGAGCCAGUAAGAGAGCAGUUCCUGGAACCUGGAGAAAGGAAGCUGUAUGUAGAGCACCUCUUGAUUAAGUUCUUGAUAAAGGAAAGCAACUAACUCGUGACAACCCUGAAAGAAGGGAGCUGAGAGAGAAACACCCCAAUCUCCCUGUCCUUCCCUUUGACCUCCUCAAGUGACACCUCCACCCCCAAUAUAACUGCUGGAAGCCAGGGGACAAGGAUGUCUGUUAAUUUCAUCCAUAAUAUCCAGUUUUCUGGCACCAGUCAAGGUGGAGAAGGGUGAAGACGAAUCUGCAGAGAUCUGGAGAGACAAACAGCACCCUUGCUAUUAACGUUUUUGUUCAGGCUGGGAGUAUCACCUAGAUCACCUCAUUCCAACUGUCAGGUAAUCCUCUAGUCUGGUCUAGAGUACCACAUAUGACCCACUUUUAAACAUAGAAAUGCCUCUCUCCUCAGUUAGCAUUUUAUCUGUAUCACUCACACUGACAAUCUAUACAUCUUUUAUUACCACUUAAAUGUUUCAUGUGUAUAUAAGUACCCAUUAUAUUAUUAGCUCUGGGGACCACAGCUUAAGAGUUACAAAUCUAUUUCCAGCAUCUAAUGCAGUGUUAAGCACAGACCAGGUGAUCAGAAUUGUAAUCUUCUCAAUUCCUGCCCCUCACUUUUUAUCCCACUCCCUACCUGCUCCAGGACAGGCUUACACCUUCACAUUAUUAUGGAAAGAAUCAUUUAAAAUCGGUU
rnacentral:lncRNA from 1 species